CCUAAAAAAAAAAUUAACCCUACAUCUAAACUUUUUGCCGUAACUUUAUCUCCUUCGCCGUCAACUUCAGCUCCUUCGUUUUCUUCAUCUUUGAGGCCGAGACCACCAGCCAAGAACACCACAGGUAAGCUUAUUCAGCCUCCACCACCAGCCAAUAACACCACAGGUAAGCUUACUCAGCCUCCACCACCGCGCUAAGCUACCAUUGACGAAGUCAAGACCACCACUGUUGACGCCGAGACCACAACCAUCAAGCUUCUUCAGCCUCCUCCGCCUUUUCUACUAAGAACAGAAAAACAAAACCGGAAUCAGAAC
rnacentral:lncRNA from 1 species